ensembl:lncRNA
UGGAGAGAAGAGGCUGUCAGAUUGAGCUACUGAGUUCCAGAAGAGGAAGAUGAGUAGGGUCCAGAAGAACAUGGGCUUCCCACCUGGCUCAGCAGUAAAGAAUCCACCUGCAAUGCCAGAGAUGCGGGAGACCUGGGUUCAGUCCCUGGGUCAGUAAGAUCCCAUGGAGGAGGAAAUGCAACUCACCCCAGAAUUCUUCCCUGGUGAAUCCCAUGGACAGAGGAGUCUGGCGAGCUACAGACCAUAGGGUCGCAAAGAGUCAGACACAACGGAGCACAGCUUGGCAGCAGCAUGCCUCUAAAACAAGUGCUCCUUGCUGGCAGGGAGUUUGUCUGCUCUGCUUGCCUCUUAACACCUGGAGCCUAGAGCAGAGCCUGGUGUAUGAGACCUUCAGGAAACACAUAUAAAUAUCUGCUGAACAGGUGAGCGCAUUUGCAAUACUUUUUGUUUUUUCUUUCUAGAUUGCCCUAUGCAUGCCCCUUGUUUCAGGCAAAUCAGGGAACUUUCCAUUUCUGCGCGAACCCAGUGUUCCCUCACCUUUACUGAGGCUGCCACUGGGAGUAGUUCGUCUUUCUCAAUGUCCCCUGUGUAAACUUCUCAUUGCCAGGCAAAUGCCUCCUCCAGGAAGUCACCUUGAAAGUGACACGUGCUUCCAUUCCAGUCCCUAACUGCAGGCAUUUGUUGAGUCAGUUCCAUUGGCACUUACUUCACACUCUGACGCUUGUUCUUCACGUCCUUCCUUAAACUAUCAACUCCUGAAGAAGCCUGGGGGCAAGCACUAUGCCUGCACCCCUCUCCAGCACCUCUCAGAGCAUUGCGCACUGCAGAGGCCCUCAACAAACUGGCGAGAGUGAGUGAGUCGAAGUUUCCAAAAAGGUGAAACACUUAUUUUUCAAAAUGCUCAAAGUUUUUUUUUUUUUUAAUUAAUUUUAAUGGAAAUCUUUCUUAUGAAAAUCACAGCUAUUUCUAUCCCCUUAGGGUAUCCCCAAUAGAUUUAGAAUCAUAGUGACCCAAAUUUUUAAUUACAAACUGGACCU